rnacentral:sRNA from 1 species
UAAUCUUAACGUAAAGAGGGAGCCUUGCGCUAACAAAGCUUCCCUUGUAGAAACCGUUAAAGACGGCAGCAGUUAAAUAAGUUAUAAAAAA